AUCCAGAUGACUAGUCCCAAAUAGGACGUAAUGCGCACCCUGGAU
rnacentral:hammerhead_ribozyme from 1 species